rnacentral:tRNA from 1 species
GGGGAUUUAGCUCAGUGGCAUAAGCACUUGCCUGACGAGCAUGAGGUCAUGAGUUCAAUCCCUG